AACGAACGCUGGCGGCGUGCCUAACACAUGCAAGUCGAACGUGAUUGAGGAGCUUGCUUCUCAUGAAAGUGGCGCACGGGUGAGUAACGCGUAGAUAAUCUACCUGAUGAUUUGGGAUAACACUUCGAAAGGGGUGCUAAUACCAAAUAAGCCCACGGAGUCCUUGGACACUGCGGGAAAAGGAGGGGACCUUCGGGCCUUCCGUCAUCAGAUGAGUCUGCGUACCAUUAGCUAGUUGGUAGGGUAAAGGCCUACCAAGGCGACGAUGGUCAGCUGGUCUGAGAGGAUGAUCAGCCACACUGGAACGGGGACACGGUCCAGACUCCUACGGGAGGCAGCAGUGGGGAAUUUUGCGCAAUGGGGGAAACCCUGACGCAGCAACGCCGCGUGAGUGAUGAAGGCCCUUGGGUCGUAAAGCUCUGACAGAGGGAAAGAAAUGUGGGUGGCUAAUAUCCAUUCCACUUGACGGUACCCUCAAAGGAAGCACCGGCUAACUCCGUGCCAGCAGCCGCAGUAACAC
rnacentral:rRNA from 1 species